UACGUAGGGUGCAAGCGUUGUCCGGAAUUAUUGGGCGUAAAGAGCUCGUAGGCGGUUCGUCGCGUCGGCUGUGAAAACCUGAGGCUCAACCUCAGGCCUGCAGUCGAUACGGGCGGACUUGAGUACUGCAGGGGAGACUGGAAUUCCUGGUGUAGCGGUGAAAUGCGCAGAUAUCAGGAGGAACACCGGUGGCGAAGGCGGGUCUCUGGGCCGGUACCGACGCUGAGGAGCGAAAGCGUGGGGAGCGAACAGG
rnacentral:rRNA from 1 species